AGUGGAACUCCAUGUGUAGCGGUGAAAUGCGUAGAUAUAUGGAAACACCAGUGGCGAAGGCGGCUGUCGUCUGUAACUGACGCUGAGGCUCGAAAGCAUGGGUAGCGAACAGGAUUAGAUACCCUGGUAGUCCAUGCCGUAAACGAUGAAUGCUAGGUGUUGGAGGGUUUCCGCCCUUCAGUGCCGCAGCUAACGCAUUAAGCAUUCCGCCUGGGGAGUACGACCGCGGUUGAAACUCAAAGGAAUUGACGGGGGCCCGCACAAGCGGUGGAGCAUGUGGUUUAAUUCGAAGCAACGCGAAGAACCUUACCAGGUCUUGACAUCUUUUGAUCACCUGAGAGAUCAGGUUUCCCCUUCGGGGGCAAAAUGACAGGUGGUGCGGUUGUCGUCAGCUCGUGUCGUGAGAUGUUGGGUUAAGUCCCGCAACGAGCGCAACCCUUAUGACUAGUUGCCAGCAUUUAGUUGGCACUCUAGUAAGACUGCCGGUGACAAACCGGAGGAAGGUGGGGAUGACGUCAAAUCAUCAUGCCCCUUAUGACCUGGGCUACACACGUGCUACAAUGGAUGGUACAACGAGUUGCGAGACCGCGCAAGCUAAUCUCUUAAAGCCAUUCUCAGUUCGGACUGUAGGCUGCGCCUACACGAAGUCGGAAUCGCUAGUAAUCGCGGAUCAGCACGCCGCGGUGAAUACGUUCCCGGGCCUUGUACACACCGCCCGUCACACCAUGAGAGUUUGUAACACCCGAAGCCGGCGGCGAGACCCAU
rnacentral:rRNA from 2 species